rnacentral:rRNA from 1 species
UACGUAGGGUCCAAGCGUUGUCCGGAAUUAUUGGGCGUAAAGAGCUCGUAGGCGGUCCGUUAAGUCGGAAGUGAAAUCUCAAGGCUCAACCUUGAAAUCGCUCUCGAUACUGGCGGACUUGAGGCAGGUAGGGGAAGGUGGAAUUCCUGGUGUAGCGGUGAAAUGCGCAGAUAUCAGGAGGAACACCGGUGGCGAAGGCGCACAUCUGGCCCGAUACUGACGCUGAGGCGCGAAAGCUAGGGGAGCAAACGGG